UGGCGGACGGGUGAGUAAUGUCUGGGAAACUGCCUGAUGGAGGGGGAUAACUACUGGAAACGGUAGCUAAUACCGCAUAACGUCGCAAGACCAAAGAGGGGGACCUUCGGGCCCCUUGCCAUCGGAUGUGCCCAGAUGGGAUUAGCUAGUAGGUGGGGUAACGGCUCACCUAGGCGACGAUCCCUAGCUGGUCUGAGAGGAUGGCCAGCCACACUGGAACUGAGACACGGUCCAG
rnacentral:rRNA from 1 species